UACAAUGUCACAAAGUUCUUGAGGCUCUGCUGAAAUAUGAUUCAAUCUUUGUUACUGUGAACAGGCGCUUCUGCGAAGGACGCUUGAUGAUUACAAACGAGCCGGGUAUGAUCCCACCUCAAGUAGCUUGGAGAUUAGAUUGAUACAGAGCCAGGACGAUAUUCGAAACCCAAAUGUUGAACUGAAAGCUGAGAGAUACAGGUGAAGCAGGUGAAAAAAUGUAACAUAUUUUUAUCUUAAAAUAAGAAAACAUAGAUAUGUUUAUGAGGGUAAGGUAGUUGAGAUCUCCUUUUUGGGGAUACAACUGUACAAUUCUUUUAUACAAUAUAAUACAGUUCAGAGGAUCUCAUGACUGCUCUUCUACUUGGUUGGAGUAAUGUAAUAAUGCCUCUUUUAUUUCCAUGUGAAAAGAAAAAUAUUCUCUAUCGUUUUUCCUUAUACUAACGUUUCUUGUUAAUAAUUAUAAUAAUAUCCAGAAAUACCCUGAGAGUCUUGACAAGGCUGCCGAGCUUGCAGUUUCAACGUUGCAGGUAAUCUUCUAAACUUUAUAAAGUUACUAACUUCUCUUACAAUGUCACAAAGUUCUUGAGGCUCUGCUGAAAUAUGAUUCAAUCUUUGUUACUGUGAACAGGCGCUUCUGCGAAGGACGCUUGAUGAUUACAAACGAGCUGGGUAUGAUCCCACCUCAAGUAGCUUGGAGAUUAGAUUGAUACAGAGCCAGGACGAUAUUCGAAACCCAAAUGUUGAACUGAAAGCUGAGAGAUACAGGUGAAGCAGGUGAAAAAAUGUAACAUAUUUUUAUCUUAAAAUAAGAAAACAUAGAUAUGUUUAUGAGGGUAAG
rnacentral:lncRNA from 1 species